GGCUUAGGUAACUCAGGGAUUUUGGACAAUUCAGGUUUUGGCAAUUCGAAAACUUUAGAUAGCCUUGGUUCAUGUAACUCAGGGGCUUUAGGAAGCUCGUGUUUUUGAAGUUCGGGAACCUUAGGAACCUCCGACUUAGGUAACUCAGGGGCUUUAGGAAGCUCGGGUUUCGGAAAUUCGGGAACAUUAAACUUAGGUAGUUCAGGCUUUGGCAUUUCAGGUACUUUAGGAAUUUCAGGUUUUGUCAAUUCAGGAACCUUAGGUUGCUCUAACUUCGGUGAUUCAGGGAUUUUAGGUAGUUCGGGUUUUGUCAAUUCAGGAACAUUAAACUUAGGCAGUUCAUGCUUUGGCAUUUCAGGUACUUUAGGAAUUUCAGGUUUUGGCAAUUCAGGAACCUUAGGUUGCUCUAGUUUAGGUGAUUCGGGAAUUUUAGGUAGCUCGGGUUUGGGCAAUUCAGGAACAUUAAACUUGGGUAGUUCAG
rnacentral:lncRNA from 1 species